GAAAUGCGAUAAGUAGUGUGAAUUGCAGAAUUCAGUGAAUCAUCGAAUCUUUGAACGCACAUUGCGCCCUUUGGUAUUCCUUAGGGCAUGCCUGUUCGAGCGUCAUCUAAACCUUCAAGCCCUGCUUGGUGUUGGGUGCCUGUCCCGCCUCCGCGCGCGGACUCACCUCAAAUCCAUUGGCGGCCCCCGCGUCGGCCACGAGCGCAGCAGAAACGCGAACUCGUGAGCCCGUCCGGGCGGCUCCCUGAAGCUACACCCACCCAGUUUGACCUCGGAUCAGGUAGGGAUACCCGCUGAACUUAAGC
rnacentral:misc_RNA from 1 species